UAGAGUUUGAUCCUGGCUCAGAUUGAACGCUGGCGGCAGGCCUAACACAUGCAAGUCGAGCGGUAACAGGAAGAAAGCUUGCUUUCUUUGCUGACGAGCGGCGGACGGGUGAGUAAUGCCUGGGAAUAUGCCUUGAUGUGGGGGAUAACUAUUGGAAACGAUAGCUAAUACCGCAUAAUGCCUACGGGCCAAAGAGGGGGAUCUUCGGACCUCUCGCGUCAAGAUUAGCCCAGGUGGGAUUAGCUAGUUGGUGAGGUAAUGGCUCACCAAGGCGACGAUCCCUAGCUGGUCUGAGAGGAUGAUCAGCCACACUGGAACUGAGACACGGUCCAGACUCCUACGGGAGGCAGCAGUGGGGAAUAUUGCACAAUGGGCGCAAGCCUGAUGCAGCCAUGCCGCGUGUGUGAAGAAGGCCUUCGGGUUGUAAAGCACUUUCAGUCGUGAGGAAGGUUCAUGCGUUAAUAGCGUAUGGAUUUGACGUUAGCGACAGAAGAAGCACCGGCUAACUCCGUGCCAGCAGCCGCGGUAAUACGGAGGGUGCGAGCGUUAAUCGGAAUUACUGGGCGUAAAGCGCAUGCAGGUGGUUCGUUAAGUCAGAUGUGAAAGCCCGGGGCUCAACCUCGGAAUUGCAUUUGAAACUGGCCGGACUAG
rnacentral:rRNA from 1 species